rnacentral:lncRNA from 1 species
CAUGUUGUUCUUCAUCCUCCUGCUAGAGGUGAUUUGGAUCCUGGCUGCAGACGAGGGUCAACACUGGACAUAUGAGUGCCCACAUAGUCAGGACCACUGUGGCCAGCCUUUUACCCUGAGUGUGGAAACAAUACACAGUCCCCCUUCGAUAUCCGGACAGACAGUGUGACAAUUGACCCUUAGAUGACUGCUCUACAGCCCCAUGGAUAUGACCGGCCUGGCACUGAGCCUUUAGACCUGCACAAGAAUAGCUACACAGUACAACUGUCUCUGCCCUCUACCCUGUAUCUAGGUGGACUUUCCAGAAAAUAUGUAGCUACCCAGCUACACCUGCACUGGGGUCAGGAUGAUCCCCAGGGGGCUCAGAACACCAGAUCAACAGUGAAGCCACAGUUGCCGAGCUCCACAUCAUACGUUAUGGCUGUGAUUCCUGUGAUAGCUUGAGUGAGGCCGCUCAGAGGCCUCAGGGCCUGACUGUCCUGGGCAUCCUAAUUGAGGUGAAAUGCUGAGCCUUGGUGUAGGAAUCUUGGUUGGCUCUCUCUGACUUCUGCUGGCCAUUUUCUUCAUGGCUAGAAGGCUUCAGAACAAGAGGCUGGAAAAUCAGAAGAGCGUGGUCAUCACCUCAGCAUGAGCCACCACUGAGGCAUAAACUCCCUCUUAGAUACCUUGGAUAUGGAUGCCUUCCCCUCGUGCCUCCAGAGGUGCUUUCCCCUCAUGUCUCACCACCCCUCAGGGAACCUCUAAAAUGGGGUGCAGGGACUGGCCGGAAUUACUGUAGGAGUAGUAGGCGCUUCUCCUCUGGACAUCCCCUGCAGAGAGGUAUGGACCCAGGCUCUCAUUCAAGGAAGAACAGCAGAGCCUUCAGCCCCUCAAAACAUGUAGGAGGAGAUCAGGGCAUCCCUGUGUUGUUAGUGCAGAGGACAAACUGUGUUUAGUUUUAGGGGAAGUUUGGGAUGUACCCCAAAGUCCUCCACCAUCUCACCUUUAUGUCCCUUUCCCUAGAUAUAUUGCAGGAUCUCCCCUUAGGAGAAAGAGUUGCUGUUGGGGUUAUAUAUUUUUGCUCAACAUAUUUGGAAACUAAAGUUUCUGGAGGAAAAAAAA